UAAAGAACCCAACAAGAAACACAGACGCAGAGAGAGAGAGAGAGAGAGAGAGAGAGAGAGAGAGAGGGGGCUUCCUAUGCCAUUCAUUCUCUACCGGGAUUUUGAAGAUUCAAAGCUUUGAUAUUUGCCUUACUUUGGUCAAGUCCCUUGAUUUCUCUUCAAGGUUUGUGGGUUACUUUCGAUCUUUCUUUUUUAUUUUUUUUCUUUUUUUUUUUUGAAAUUUCGUAUGUUCUGGGUUUCGAUUCGGACGGUUUCUUAUUAUUCUUCAUGUUAGAUCAUGAAUUUUUCUGACUUCAUUCAAAUAUUAAUUUGGGGUUUUUGAUUUCUGUUGUUUGAUGGUGAUUUCGUAUUGAAGGUGACCGAAAUGGGAUCAAAGGAGAACAACCCAGAUCUCGUUAGGCCUUCAAAUUUUCAAGGUAACAGACGUAGCAGAACCCCAGGAUGUAAAUACUUUUCAAUUUCUGAAUUUUUUUUUAAAUAUAUCUUCUUCGUUUGCAUUUGUUUUCUUUGAAAUUUUGGAAAACGUCCGAGAAUUUGUUUGGGGGCAGCGCCUGAGGGAUGUCCAUAACAUCACCAGAAAAGAAUGUCCUAGGAAGAAAAACGUGAGAAGGUUUGAAUUUAAGAAAAAUGUGCCAAAGGUAGUACGAGGUUUGCAUACGAGGUUUGCGCAAUUGCUCCAGCAGCAGCCAAAGGAAACCAAGGAAGUGUCUGUGAGUUCAUUUGCUGCAAAUCCGCAGCUGUGCAGGACGUUGAUCAGGAAGCGAAGAGACCGAAGUAGGAUGCUUUUGGUUGCUGAAGACAAGAGCUCGACAAUUUGGUGCACCAUUACAUCUAAAUUAUGUAAGUAGUAUGCAUGAUGUGGAACAAUUAGUGGGGGAAAUCAUGGAACAACUCGACAUGCGUACGUCUAAGAAUAACAUGUUUGAAGAAUUCUAAAGUUGGGGAUCUUCGAUGUCCAAUUUCGGCCACAUUUCGUGUCAUUCUUCAUUGUAAGGAAAUGGUGAUUUACGUAUGUCGUGUCGUUAAUUUUAGGGUUUUUAUGUUUUA